rnacentral:rRNA from 1 species
CACGUAGGGCGCAAGCGUUGUCCGGAAUUAUUGGGCGUAAAGAGCUCGUAGGCGGUGUGUCGCGUCGGCCGUGAAAACCUGCAGCUUAACUGUGGGCGUGCGGUCGAUACGGGCAUCACUGGAGUUCGGCAGGGGAGACUGGAAUUCCUGGUGUAGCGGUGAAAUGCGCAGAUAUCAGGAGGAACACCGGUGGCGAAGGCGGGUCUCUGGGCCGAUACUGACGCUGAGGAGCGAAAGCGUGGGGAGCGAACAGG